rnacentral:rRNA from 1 species
GACGAACGCUGGCGGCGUGCUUAACACAUGCAAGUCGAACGAAGUGGCGAACGGGUGAGUAACGCGUAAUCAACCUGCCCUUCAGAGGGGGCCAACAGUUGGAAACGACUGCUCAUCCCGCAUCCCGAAGGUGGGGAUUGCGUCUGAUUAGGUAGUGGGAGGGGUAACGGCCCACCAGGGCGAGGCAGAGUAGCCGGGUUUAAGGGAAGGACGGCCACAGUGGGACUGAGACACAGCCCAGACUUCUACGGGAGGCAGCAGGGGGGAAGCUUCCGCAAUGGACGAAAGUCUGACGGCGCAACGCCGCGUGAGUGAUGACGGCCUUCGGGUUGUAAAGCUCUGUUAAUCGGGACGCGGUACCGGAAUAGAAAGCCACGGCUAACUACGUGCCAGCAGCCGCGGUAAUUC